UGGCCUGCUACAAAGGAAAAGGAGAAAUGAGAUUUCCUUCUGAAUCCUCAUUCAUUGUACCAUGUUUUCCAGGGGACACUGCUGGCUUCCUUCUGCAGCACGUGGUCUGGAGCCAUACUCCUGUCUGAAGUCAUCUCUAUCCAGAGCUUUUGCCAGCAAGAGGGCUUGUUUUGUUGUUUAGGGUUUUUUUGUUGUUGUUUGUUUGGAGUCAUCAGCAGUGAUGAACUACACAGAACAUGUUUGGAUCAAGCAUCAGACUGGUUUUGGUUUGUGACUCAUUUAUUGGUCAGAAAUAGAGCUUAAU
rnacentral:lncRNA from 1 species